AGAAAGACAAAUAUCAUAUGACUUCACUCAUAGGAGGUCUUUGAGACACAAAACAGAUGAACAUAUAAUGGAAGGGAAACAAAAAUAAUAACAGGGAGGUGUACAAAAGAAGAGCACACAUAAAUAUGGAGAACAAACAUGGGGUUACUGGAGGGGUUGUGGGGGGGGAUGGACUAAAUGGGUAAGGGGCACUAAGGAAUCUACUCAUGAAAUAACUGUUGCACUAUACGGUAACUAAUUUGGAUGUAAAUUAAAAAAAAUUUAUUUGUGGAAACAAUAGCUGAAAGGUGCCCUAAUUGGGGGA